UACGAGGGGGGCAAGCGUUGUUCGGAAUUAUUGGGCGUAAAGAGCUCGUAGGCGGCUUGUCGCGUCGGAUGUGAAAGCCCGGGGCUUAACUCCGGGUCUGCAUUCGAUACGGGCAGGCUAGAGUUCGGUAGGGGAGAUCGGAAUUCCUGGUGUAGCGGUGAAAUGCGCAGAUAUCAGGAGGAACACCGGUGGCGAAGGCGGAUCUCUGGGCCGAUACUGACGCUGAGGAGCGAAAGCGUGGGGAGCGAACAGG
rnacentral:rRNA from 1 species